UAGCAGGGACGACCCUGCCUUUUAAAUCAUAAAUUGAGGACGACCUUA
rnacentral:ncRNA from 1 species